rnacentral:rRNA from 1 species
AUUGAACGCUGGCGGCAGGCCUAACACAUGCAAGUCGAACGAGUGGCGGACGGGUGAGUAAUGUCUGGGAAACUGCCCGAUGGAGGGGGAUAACUACUGGAAACGGUAGCUAAUACCGCAUACCAUCGGAUGUGCCCAGAUGGGAUUAGCUAGUAGGUGGGGUAACGGCUCACCUAGGCGACGAUCCCUAGCUGGUCUGAGAGGAUGACCAGCCAAACUGGAACUGAGACACGGUCCAGACUCCUACGGGAGGCAGCAGGGGGGAAUAUUGCACAAUGGGCGGAAGCCUGAUGCAGGCAUGCCGGGUGUAUGAAGGAGGCCUUCGGGUUUGAAAGGACUUUCAGCGAGGAGGCGUUACUCGCAGAAGAAGCACCGGCUAACUCCGGUCCAGCCGCCGCGGUAAUUC